UUGAACGCUGGCGGCAGGCCUAACCCAUGCAAGUCGAGCGGAUGAAGGGAGCUUGCUCCUGGAUUCAGCGGCGGACGGGUGAGUAAUGCCUAGGAAUCUGCCUGGUUGUGGGGGAUAACGCCCGGAAACGGGCGCUAAUACCGCAUACGUCCUGAGGGAGAAAGUGGGGGAUCUUCGGACCUCACGCUAUCAGAUGAGCCUAGGUCGGAUUAGCUAGUUGGUGGGGUAAAGGCCUACCAAGGCGACGAUCCGUAACUGGUCUGAGAGGAUGAUCAGUCACACUGGAACUGAGACACGGUCCAGACUCCUAAGGGAGGCAGCAGUGGGGAAUAUUGGACAAUGGGCGAAAGCCUGAUCCAGCCAUGCCGCGUGUGUGAAGAAGGUCUUCGGAUUGUAAAGCACGUUAAGUUGGGAGGAAGGGCAGUAAGUUAAUAACUUGCUGUUUUGACGUUACCAACAGAAUAAGCACCGGCUAACUUCGUG
rnacentral:rRNA from 1 species